GCUCCAAUGGCGCAAUGGUAGCGCGCAAGACUUCUACGACAGUUUGACUUACAGGCACGUGACAUCUUGAGGUUGAGGGUUCGAGCCCCUCUUGGAGUG
rnacentral:tRNA from 1 species